GAUGAACGCUGGCGGCGUGCCUAAUACAUGCAAGUCGAGCGAACGGACGAGAAGCUUGCUUCUCUGAUGUUAGCGGCGGACGGGUGAGUAACACGUGGAUAACCUACCUAUAAGACUGGGAUAACUUCGGGAAACCGGAGCUAAUACCGGAUAAUAUUUUGAACCGCAUGGUUCAAAAGUGAAAGACGGUCUUGCUGUCACUUAUAGAUGGAUCCGCGCUGCAUUAGCUAGUUGGUAAGGUAACGGCUUACCAAGGCAACGAUGCAUAGCCGACCUGAGAGGGUGAUCGGCCACACUGGAACUGAGACACGGUCCAGACUCCUACGGGAGGCAGCAGUAGGGAAUCUUCCGCAAUGGGCGAAAGCCUGACGGAGCAACGCCGCGUGAGUGAUGAAGGUCUUCGGAUCGUAAAACUCUGUUAUUAGGGAAGAACAUAUGUGUAAGUAACUGUGCACAUCUUGACGGUACCUAAUCAGAAAGCCACGGCUGACUACGUGCCAGCAGCCGCGGUAAUACGUAGGUGGCAAGCGUUAUCCGGAAUUAUUGGGCGUAAAGCGCGCGUAGGCGGUUUUUUAAGUCUGAUGUGAAAGCCCACGGCUCAACCGUGGAGGGUCAUUGGAAACUGGAAAACUUGAGUGCAGAAGAGGAAAGUGGAAUUCCAUGUGUAGCGGUGAAAUGCGCAGAGAUAUGGAGGAACACCAGUGGCGAAGGCGACUUUCUGGUCUGUAACUGACGCUGAUGUGCGAAAGCGUGGGGAUCAAACAGGAUUAGAUACCCUGGUAGUCCACGCCGUAAACGAUGAGUGCUAAGUGUUAGGGGGUUUCCGCCCCUUAGUGCUGCAGCUAACGCAUUAAGCACUCCGCCUGGGGAGUACGACCGCAAGGUUGAAACUCAAAGGAAUUGACGGGGACCCGCACAAGUGGUGGAGCAUGUGGUUUAAUUCGAAGCAACGCGAAGAACCUUACCAAAUCUUGACAUCCUUUGACAACUCUAGAGAUAGAGCUUUCCCCUUCGGGGGACAAAGUGACAGGUGGUGCAUGGUUGUCGUCAGCUCGUGUCGUGAGAUGUUGGGUUAAGUCCCGCAACGAGCGCAACCCUUAAGCUUAGUUGCCAUCAUUAAGUUGGGCACUCUAAGUUGACUGCCGGUGACAAACCGGAGGAAGGUGGGGAUGACGUCAAAUCAUCAUGCCCCUUAUGAUUUGGGCUACACACGUGCUACAAUGGACAAUACAAAGGGCAGCGAAACCGCGAGGUCAAGCAAAUCCCAUAAAGUUGUUCUCAGUUCGGAUUGUAGUCUGCAACUCGACUACAUGAAGCUGGAAUCGCUAGUAAUCGUAGAUCAGCAUGCUACGGUGAAUACGUUCCCGGGUCU
rnacentral:rRNA from 1 species